rnacentral:tRNA from 1 species
UGGUCAUUAGCUCAAUCGGCAGAGCACCCAGCUGUUAACCGGGAUGGUGGAGGUUCGAGGCCUCCAUGACCAG